UACGUAGGGUGCAAGCGUUGUCCGGAAUUAUUGGGCGUAAAGAGCUCGUAGGCGGCGUGUCGCGUCGGGGAGUGAAAGCCCGCUGCUUAACGGCGGGUUGGCUUCCGGUACGGGCAUCGCUGGAGUGCGGCAGGGGAGACUGGAAUUCCUGGUGUAGCGGUGGAAUGCGCAGAUAUCAGGAGGAACACCGGUGGCGAAGGCGGGUCUCUGGGCCGUUACUGACGCUGGAGGAGCGAAAGCGUGGGGAGCGAACAGG
rnacentral:rRNA from 1 species